CUAACUGAAAUCUUAAGUCUUUAAAAGUGGUACUUGAGAUAACGUAAGGGAAAAAAAAUGAUAGUACCUUACUAUAAGUGUUGUCCAAUUAACUGGUGCCAGAAGACUCGGUAACGCCAGAAACGCAAACGUUAGUCGUCCUAAUCAGGCGUAAAGGGUAAGUAGGCUGCUUUAAAAGUUAUUAUAUAAAAAGCUCUUUAAUUAACAAAAGUAUAGUAAUAAUGAAUUAAAGCUAGAAUCAAAUAGAGGAUAAGCCAAAUAAUAUUUAGAGUAGGGGUGAAAUCCUUAGAUACUAAAUGGAAUACUAAAGGUGAAAACAUUUAUCUAAAAUUGAUUGACGCUGAGGAACGAAGGUGAGAAUAGAAAAUAGGAUUUGAGACCCAGAUAUCUCUCACUGUCAACGAUGAAUGGUGGUUGUUAGUUUUAAAAAAAACUAGUAACGAUGUUAACGCGAUAACCAUUCCGCCUUGCGAGUACGGUUGCAAAACUGAAACCAAAAAAAUUAGU
rnacentral:rRNA from 1 species